rnacentral:lncRNA from 1 species
UUCAAAGGCUCCCGUCUUCUAUAGGUAAUCUCAAGUACCUACAAACACUUGAUUUGAGGGUGAAUUUCUUCUCAUACUUGACAAUGCCGAAUACUAUACAGAAGCUGAAGAACUUGAGGAAUUUAUAUCUUCCGCCUUCGCAUCAGAACACAUAUAAAUUGCAGCUAAGUUCUUUAAACCAAUUGGAUAUGCUUAAGAACUUUGAUACACAAGUUUCUCCUUUUAGAUGCCAUCGCAUCAGAACACAUAUAAGUUGCAGCUAAGUUCUUUAAACCAAUUGGAUAUGCUUAAGAACUUUGAUACACAAGUUUCUCCUUUUAGAGAUCUCUUCAAGUUAACGGAACUUCAGAA